GACGAACGCUGGCGGCGUGCCUAAUACAUGCAAGUCGAGCGCAGGAAAUCGACGGAACCCUUCGGGGGGAAGUCGACGGAAUGAGCGGCGGACGGGUGAGUAACACGUAAAGAACCUGCCCUCAGGUCUGGGAUAACCACGAGAAAUCGGGGCUAAUACCGGAUGGGUCAUCGGACCGCAUGGUCCGAGGAUGAAAGGCGCUUCGGCGUCGCCUGGGGAUGGCUUUGCGGUGCAUUAGCUAGUUGGUGGGGGAAUGGCCCACCAAGGCGACGAUGCAUAGCGGACCGGGGAGGGUGAUGGGCCACACUGGGACUGGGACACGGCCCAGACUCCUACGGGAGGCAGCAGUAGGGAAUCUUCCACAAUGGACGAAAGUCUGAUGGAGCAACGCCGCGUGAACGAUGAAGGCCUUCGGGUCGUAAAGUUCUGUUGUAAGGGAAGAACAAGUGCCGCAGGCAAUGGCGGCACCUUGACGGUACCUUGCGAGAAAGCCACGGCUAACUACGUGCCAGCCGCCGCAGUAA
rnacentral:rRNA from 1 species